rnacentral:lncRNA from 1 species
GCUGUUUCAGGAGCAGAAGAACCCGAGGGAACUGGAGGAGAAGACAGACGCAAACCAGCCGAACAGAGAAAAAACAGGGGAAGCACACAGGGGGAUGAAAGAAAAAUGAAGACUGGGAACUAACACAGAAAAAAAAGACGAAAAAGAGAGAGGCAGAAAUAACACAAAAAACCUAAGGAGGGACGAGAGAAUACCAGGAAAAUAACAGAACAGAGCAAAGACAGUAGAAAGGAGGACCGGAGAACUGGAGGGAGAAUCCGGGGGAACUGAGGACGAACUGAGAGGAUAGAACCCGAGGGAACGAACUGGGGAAGCGAGGAACCAGAUAACAGAGAAAAAAUAAAAACCCACGGACGAAGAACAAAGAAAAAAACGGAAACACAGAAAGAACCCAGGACAGAAACCAGGGGACAUAAAUGAAAAGGAUAGAACCCAGAGGACGAACUAAGGAGGAACUGGAGGGAAGAGAGGAAAAAAAAAAACAGAGGAACGAGGAGAGCAGAGAGACAAAAAAACAGAGAAGAACAAAAACACAAGGACAAGGACAGAAUACCAAAGACAGAAGGAAAGAACACGGGAAGACGAAGAGGAAAACAAAACACAGAGGGUAAAGCAUAUGAUCAAUCAGCACACCAGUGCAUUCGGCUUCGUCUCCAGGUAGGUUCUUCUUUCCUUUGCCCCGCUUUUGCAAUUUUCAGUUUUUGCAGUGAAGUGCACGCGUGAAUUAGCUUGUGCGUGCUGCCACCAGCUAGGGCACUGGUUUGGACUAGGGCCUCAGGCUCUACUGGCUAAUCUCUUUUAUUUUAGUUUUUUUUAUUUUAAUAUUUGACUAAAGAAUUCCUUUUUAAUAUCAGAAAAUUUCAAAAAAAAAAUUGUGUAUCCUUUAGAAUUUAUUCGAAGGUCUCUCGUAUUUUUUUCAGGUAUUUCACUAUAUAUUUGAUCUAUAAAUUUUUAUUGUAAAAUACAAAUUUAGUAUUUGAUGUAUUUUAUUUUUUUCUUAAAAAAAAGAUAAAAAAUAUGUAUGUUUUGUUUUAAAUUCAUUUUAUUGGUAUAUUCACUAAUACCAAAGUAAGGAAUAUCAUAUUUUGUAGCUACGUAAUAUUUACCAAUACCAGAGUUAGAAGUAUCUGUAGCCGAAUAUUCACUAGCGUCAGAGUCAGGAAUAUUAUAGGCAAACCAUCAAAGAUAUCUUUCAUUUUAUGUAACCAGUCUCAUACCAUAAAAUCUCUGUUGACGAGUUAAGAUUUCUAAUGACUAUAAUAUUAGAUAGUGAUUUCUUAAAAGAUAUUUUUCAUUGAUGAAUAAGAUACCAAAAAUAUGUAUUUUUCUUCAAAGAUUUUUUUUAGACUGUCACGAUGUCGGGUGCAACAAUUAUUUUUAUUGAUUUUGUUUUUGUUCAAUUAUUAUGUAUUUCUUCCUUCAGCCUUGGUUUAUAUAGGAAAAGUCAUGGAUAACUUCUUUUCUUUUUGGAUAAUGAUUGAAGAUUUAAUUAAAUGGUCAUCAAGCGAUUGACAAAAAAAAUUAACAUACAAAUUAAAGGAUAAGUAAAAGUACAAUAAAUAAAAGUGAAGGCUCUUUUUAAUUCUAUAACAAACACCAAAAUAAAAUCAGAAAAGCCUUGAGAAUUAGCAUAUAUAACAUGAGAUCCCAGUAAACUCAGACCAUGGAUGACAAACAAACAGAUGCAACAACAACUCUAAAAAGUCGCCACCUCCACAAUCAAGUACCAAGAAAUUAACUUUGAUGGAUGUAUCUCAACUGAUUAGAUCCUGGGUUGCUCCCUAGAGAUCACUAGUUUGAGUCCCAUAAAUCUCAGGGCCACUAGAGACUUAUAUGGUCAUUAACUUCAGGACCCGUGGAAUUAGUCAAAAUACAUGCAAAUUGGUCCGAAUAUCAUGUUAAUCUUUUUUUUUAAAAAAAUAAGAAAUUAAUGAAUCAGAAGCUACUCAGCCCUCCCCCUUUCAUUAUUAGUCCAAAGUAAAAUACCCUCAACAUUAUGAACUAAGUCAAGCCCGUGUAAUGAAAUUCUUCAUUAUUUGAUCGCAACCACAAAACCAAUCGAUGCAAAAUGAGAUAAAAAAUCAUAUCCCAGAUACGAGCUCGACCAUUAAACACAAAGUCAUUUCUCGCUAGCCAUAUACCCCAAGCUAUACCAUAAGAGAGAUUGAUCCAAACUUCCUUUGGAAUUUUCCUUUGGCAAGAGAAGGCCAUUGAAAAAUUAACUGAUAGCGACUGCGACAUAAUCCAUUUGACACCCUAUCAAGAUAGGAAACGAGACCAAAUUUUCCAAGUAUAAACACAUCAGACCAGAAAAUGAUAUGAAGAUUCUAGGUGGAUUUUGAUGGAUAACUUCUUGUUAACCACCCACUUUCUCCAUUGCUCCUCAUUUUAAGGAUGAACAACUAAAACUGCCCAUCUAUAUUAUCUCAUGUGUUUUAAUUAGUUUCUUUUACAAGUGUAGAUCUUUCCUAUAGCAUGUCUUAUCUUUCUUCUAAUCCAAACUUCAUAACUCUUAUAAAACUUAUUAGGUCCAAACUUAUUUUAAUAUGGAAACAUUUAAUAAGUUCAGUCUACUAUUUCAACUUUUUUUUUUUAUCUUUUGACUUAAAUUAUUUCUCAAACUAAUUUAUUGUGUAACUCCUAAGCUUUCCACUGCAUGCUUCAUUUUCUUUUUUCUUUUUUUUUUUGGUAUAAAAGUCCAGACCUUUUAAUCCACUCCAAGACUUUAAAUAGUUAUUUUUAUUUUUAUGUUUUAAGGUUUUUAUUUUUAUUUUUUUGCAUUCGUAUAUAAGAGCUCUUUGAUUCUUUACGCGUCCUAGCAAAUUCAAUCGCUUCUUUGUUAAGCCACCGCUAUAUAUAGUUUAUCAUGUUUCCUUCGUAAUGUGAAACCUUCUUUUCCUAUCAUUCUAGGGUUUUUAUUUUUUGUUUGUUUUUGCAAUUGCGAACUACAUAAUUGACAGAUUUGUCCAUUCCCGUGACGAAGCAUAGACAAUGCCUCUAGUACAAUCUUGUAGAGUAAAAACACAAUAUAAUUGCGUGUUUGGGUACUUUUAGAAAGGAAGUCCUUGGAGUUGGAAGCUUGUUUAGAGAAGAAGGCUUCAGGUUUGGCAGGAAGAACUUGGGGCAAAGAUGCUUGAUUUUUCCAACUCAUCGGAGAAUAUUGAUUUCCAACCAUAUUCUUUCUUGGAAAAUAAUUUUCUUAGCGGAAUCAUACAGCGGUAUUGCCACACAAUAAUAUGUACCUUAAUACUUUUAAUAAUUAAAAAAAAACUUGUGAAAAUAGGUUUAAAUAAUAAAAUAGGAAUGAAAAAGAAGUUUAUAACCUUAGAAUGCUACUAGAAAUGGGUGGAAUAGAGGUGGCUUAUAAGCUUUUUAAUCUCUUUCCACUUGUUGCUGCUAACGAUGAUUCACACCUUCGCUAACAGGGUUUUUGGAACUGUCAUGUUCAUUUUUCUUUACAACUUCUUCUCUCUCUCUCUUUCUCUCUCUCUCUCUCUUUAUAUGUAGUAGGAUAAUCUAUAUGGGUUGUCAUGAUGAAGAAGGAGGUUGUUUUAACAAGUGGAGUUGUGUUCGUUAUGGGGUUAGUGUUUGGAGGCUAAACGAGGAAUAAGCAAAAGCAUAUCAAUCCAUUGGGUUUAUUUCAGAGUAGAUCGGGUCUGAUGAUGAUCACUAAUGGUGGAUUUAGAGGGAAGAAAAGGAUGGUCAUCAAUGGGUUGGUAUGGGUUGUGGUGGUUGAUUUGUCAACCAGGAGUAGUGUGAUGGUUAUGUGACGUUGUUUCCUUGACUCUUUCUACUUUUAAGGCAGAAUAUGUGUGGUGUGGUGUGGUGUGGUGUUAGAAGACAAUAAUAUAAAUUAUAUUUUGAGAUUUUAUUUAAUAGUUUAAUAUUUUUGAUUGAAUUUGUUUUUUUAAUAUAGUAUUAAAGUUUUGAUAACUAAUCAGUUACAAAUUUAAAUUUCACUAUUCUUAUUUAUUUGAUAAAAAAAUAAAAUACAAGGUAAUGUGAGUUUAUGCAUGUUUUAAGUUUAAAAUGCUUUCACUUGAGAGAAUGUAUUAGAGAAUAAUAUAAAUCAUAUAUUAAGACCUCACAUAAUAAUUUAAGAUUUUGGAUUGAUUUUUUGACAUGUGACAAUGAUUUUUUUACGUUUGUGUGUAGUUAAAGAGAAUUUUCGAGAUAAUGCACAUGUGUCGAGACAAAAGCAUAAAGAUUUUUGUUGAUAAUAACUCUACAAUUAUUUUAGGAAAAAAAACCCAAUUUUUUUAUAAGAGAAAUGAGCAUGCAAACAGCAGAUAUCCCUCUAUUAGAGAGUGCAUAAGAAAAAAAGAGGUGUGACUGGGUUAUGUUAAAUUCAUUAAUCAAGUUGCAUAUAUUCUUACAAGGGUUUUGAAAUGAGAAGAUUUUUGCAAAUUAAAAGCUUUGCUAAGACUUAUCUAGAGAUAGGUUUAAGGAAGGACGUCGAGGGUAAAUUUAUACUAUAAUAAUGUUUUAUCUAUAUAUACAAUUUAGUUCAAGCUGUAGCGGUUUUAACAACAAACAAACCGUUAUUGUUUCUUAACUACCUAAGAUUUGGAGCCAUAUCUGUGCCAAGCACCAAGCUCAUUUCAACGGAACCGCGCAUGCUCAUUUCAGAUGACAUCUCCAUGGCCAGACAUUCCUUUAGCUCUCCCAAAAUAUCACUCAUGUCCGGCCUUUGUGUUGAAGUCGGGGGCACGCAGGACAGUGCUAUCUCCAGAGCUUUCCAAGCACAAUUAGUGUUGAAUUCACCUUGCAGCCUUGGAUCGAUAAUGCUUUGGAUAUCCCCUAUUUCAAUUAGAGGACUCACCCAUUGAAGUAUGUGAGUGUGGCCCUGAUGGCCCCUUAUUAAAGGCGGUUGACCAGUUAUUAGCUCACAUAGAAGAAUACCGAAACUGUAAACAUCACUUUUCUUAUUUAAGUUUCCUGAUGCUCGAAAUCUGCAUACAGAAUAUAAUAAUAAUUAUUCUAGGAGAACGAACAUUGUGCGAGAAGAUUAACAUUAAGUGUGAAUACGUACUCAGGAUCAAUGUAUCCGGGCGUGCCUGCAGGUACAGUUAUGACAUGCGAGUCUCCUUCGGUGGCGAAUGCUUUGGACAGCCCGAAAUCAGCAAUCUUGGCAUGAAGGUUUUUAGUUAAUAAGAUGUUGGAUGAUUUCAAAUCUCUAUGGACUAUUGGCGGUUUGCAACCAUUAUGCAAAUAUUCCAAACCUGCGAGUUCGAUAAUGCCAGUUAAUCCAACAAAAUUUGCAGAACAAAAAUGAAGAAAAAAUAACUCAGGCACUAGAGUGAGACCUUGUGCUGUGUCUACUGCAAUUUGCAGCCUUUCCCUCCAUUUCAACAUAUUUGUGCUAUUUUCUGCAGCCACAAAAACACACUAAGAUCAUAAAUUAAACAAUAAACUUUGCAAUGUGAUGAAUGCAACAGGAAUUAUGUUUCAUUACACAUAGAAGUUCAUCGAUACUAGAUGAUUGCCAAAGAAUAAUUUCAACUUAAAAGUUUAAGCUAUUGAGUGAGGUCUUAAGAUGUGAUUUAAAUUAUUAUCUAACACCCCCCUUAAGUGAAAGCUCUAUGGACUUGAAAUUUGCAGAGACAUAUAAUGAGAUUCGAACUCAUGACAUCUUGGUUAUCAAGGCUCUGAUACCAUGUUAAAAAAUCAUCUCAACAUAAAAGCUUAAGUUAUUAGGUGAGAUUACAAAAUAUAAUUUAUAUUAUUAUUUAAUAAUGAUAAAUUCGUACAAAUCUGAGUGAGAGUUCUAUCUGUAAACUAGUUUUUAUCCUAAAAUAAUUGAAGAAUUCUAUGUUUAUGAGAGUAAUUCUAUAAAUACCUAACAAUUGCUCCUUCAAGUUCCCAUUUGCCAUGUAUUCAUAAACAAGUGCCAUAUUUGCAUGCUCAUUACAGUAACCAAUGAGGGACACCAAGUUUCUGUGAUGAACAAUCAUCAAUAGUUGGACCUGCAUUUGGAAACACUACUCUGUCAUAGCUGAAAGAAAAAUAUUUGGUGCAUCUCUCUUGUCCUCUACAGGAAAGGAGAAAGCUAACUAAUUUGUUACCUCCGCUAGAAAUUCUUUAUAACCUUGCCUUGAGGAUUGAGAUAACAACUUGACAGCAACUUGACGACCAUCUUUGAGGUUUCCAAGAUAUACUUUUCCAAAUCCUCCUUCUCCAAUAAUGGUUUGGAAAUUAUUGGUAAUGCUAACUAUUUCAGUGUAUGUAAAUGGUUGAUUCUUUGAUUUCAGUGACAAUUCUUUUCUAGAUAAGCCCACUGAGAAAGAUAAUGACACAUUCAAUCUCCCUGCAAAGGAAAAUUUUGUUUUUUUAUAAAGCGAUAAAUAUUCCAAUAUUUUAAUAGAGAUACUAAAGUAAGCAACUAUAUAUGUCAUCAUAUUUACAUGUCAAAACUAUGUUAUUGCUUACUGAUUACAUGCUGAAUCGUAUUCUCAUCUGCUAAGUUGCAAGAAGGAAAUGAGGUAUUGGGGGUGGUAUCCAGAUUAGAAUUAUGAGAUGAUAGGUAAUAUAAAAGUUGUUGGGAGCGCAUAAUAUGAAUGAUAUAUAUAUAUAUAUAUAUAUUGAAAAUGAAUGAAAAAACUAAAGUGCUUACAUAUAAGAUAGACUCAUAAAAUAAUAUUCUAUUAAGUUGAAUACAGUGCUUACAUAUAAGAUAGACUCAUAAAAUAAAAUAAUAUUGGAAUAAAAUAAUAUUCCAAUAUUUUAGGUCAUAUAUGUAAGCCAUGGGAUGUAUAGAUCAUCAAUGAUUUCACAGAAAACACAAAGCAUCUUGUAAGCCCAAAUUACUCUAUGUUAUUCUAGGAUUUAGUUAACAACACUCAAAAGAGGGGAAAGAAUACCGAGAAGAUAAGUGAAAGAGAAAGAAUUCACCUCCUUUCAACCUCCAGAAGAUGGUUAUAAUGCUAAGGAGGAGGAGCACCGAAACUGAUAUGACAGAUGCAAUAACUGAAACAGAAAACUUCUUCUUUUCACAUGUAUCCAUCUUGCAUAAAUCCAGAUUUCCUUCCAAACUUGCAUUAAGUAAAAUAUUGUCAGAUGUAACUGAGAAUCAAUGAUUAUAUACCAGUAACAAAUAACCCAAUCAAAGUGAUCAUGGUUAGCUUUAGAAAGUUAGCAAGAUCACUGUGAAAUAUACCGAAGAAUUGUAUCAGUUACAUAAUUCCUUAAACUCGUACUAACAUGCAAAGGGAAUGGAUUUGUAUAAUCUAUUUUCUGACUCCUUUUUGUUCCUUAACGUUUAAUUUCAAUUUAUGAAAAAUCAAAACAAUGUUCACUUCAUAUGUAAGAAAAGAAGUUAGAGAAGAACCAAAGGAGAAUGAUUGUUUAAUUAACAUGCAGAUAAGUUGUAAUCAUUAAAGAUGAUAACCAAACCUCAGUUGCAACUGUCCAUUGUUAGACUUUUCCUUGAGACCAUGAGGAACUGCACCUGUGAGUUUGUUCCCACUCAAAUAUCUGCAAAAAGGGAAAAAAAAAAGUCACCAUUCACCAUGGUAAUCCUUGUAAAAACUUCUUGUGGUAAAAACCAGAGUAUGUUAAAUUACAUGCUAGUAAGAUUUGGUAGUUGCGCAAAAGCUUCUGGCACUGUCCCUGUCAAUUCAUUGUUUGAUAAAUCCCUGAAAGAAAAUGUGAAGAAAAAAUAACAAACAAUCACAUUUUGUAAAGAAAUAGAUGACAAAAGUAUGCAAUAGUUGGGAAAAAAAUAGAGGUUCUUCCUCCACUGAUCUGAAGUAUGAACACCCAUUUUUGCAACUUUGGUGGAGCCAGAUAUCCCAAUCGUUGGCUUGGAGGAUUUUGUCCAGAAAAAAUACAUAUAGGGAGAGUGGUUAUGCUUCAGCUUAUAAGAUGCAUGAGCCCUUCAUACACCUCUAGCCAAUUUCCAUAUGGAAUAUUCAUAACAUCACCUUCAGACUUCCAUAAGAUAAUGUCUCAUCAUAAGACUGAGGUGCCCUCUAAUUUCAAGGGUCUCGAACCAAUAAACAAUAGUUCUCUUCAAAUAGAAUAAAGUCCGUAAGAAAUUCUAGUAGUGACUGUCAUUCUAGUGCUAGAUAUCUAGUAGCCAUUGCCAGGGUAGUUUAUUAGUAUUAAAACCUGUUACAACUUGGUUAUUAACACUUACAAGGAUUGGAUUGCUGUGAGGCUCAAGAGUGAAACAUCUAUAUUCCCUGAUAAUUGACUUGAACUUAGAUUCCUGCUCACAAUUAAUUGUAAAAGAGUAAGACAUUGAGAUACUGAAUGUCGUAUCUAAGUGGUUGUUCUUCAAAAAUAACUUCCAGAAAAUAUUCCAAUAAUUAUACGGAAUUUAUGAGGGAACUCACAGCGAGAUGAUCCUUGGAGGAUUAUCAUUGUUGCACUGCAAACCAGACCACGUAGUAAGUGGCAAACAUGGAUCUCCUUGCCAGUUAACUCGAUCUAUUUUGUAUGCUUUCUUGAUGGCCAUGAUUGCAUCAACUAUGAUAAUUUAGGUUAAAAAGGGUGAGAAGUGCAUAACUUUAGAUUUAUAAGAGAGAAUCGCUAUAUACUAGGUAAAGGCCUUUAUAUCAAAAAAAUCUCGAUCUCACCUUUUUGUGACGAGAAUAAUUUUUUAUGAUGAAUAUAUAUAUAUAUAUCUCAAUUAGUCAUUAGGCUUUAUCAUUAGGCUUUAUCAUUUGUACGGUGGCUAUCAAACAAAUCAUGUGUAUGAUUUUAUAAGAUUCCAAUUGAAUUUUCAGAUUAUAGGCCAACUGGUUUGUUUAAUGGUCUAUAUAAAGUUCUUGCAAAGAUUCUUUCCAACAGACUCAAACAUGUUAGCAAGGAUCUUAUUAGUGAUAAUCAAAUUGCCUUUAUAAUUGGACGUUAGAUUGUUGAUGGUUUUAUGAUAAGCAAUAAAGUGGUUCAUGAUCUUCAAAGUGGAUUUCCAUAAAGCUUUUGAUUCUGUAUCCUAGAAUUAUCUUGAUGAUAUUAUGGGAUAUAUGGGUUUGGGGGCUAAAUGGAGAAGUUUAAUAUAUGCAUGUCUCUUUACUUCUCAAUUAUCAGUUCUUAAUUAUUAACGGGUCUCCUACUAGAGAGUUCAAGGUCACACGAGGAAUUUGUCAACGUGAUUUGUUAUCUCCAUUCUUGUUUCAUUGUACAUCAGAGGUUGGUUUAUUCAAAAGGGCUACAAUUGAGAUGACACCUUGGUGUUCUUAUCGGUCAGUUUGCAAUCUUUAUUCACGGUAAAGUGAACCCUCUAAUGGUAUGAAUUAUGUUUCGGUCUGAAAAUUAAUUUCCAUAAGAUUCAGUUGUUGGAAUUAAUCUUUAUUCACAUAUUAUAGUAUUACAUAGAUCCAACUGGAAACUCUCUCUUGAAAACUAGAUAAUGUUACCGGACCUACGAUAACGGGUGAUUUGAGCAGUUAGGUGUGGGUCUAUCAUAGCUAUAUAAAGAUCUGACUCAGAUAUGUUAUAUGGAUGACCUAGAAGAUAUAUUUAUAGACCAAGGGGACAUGUCUAUGACCAAGAAUAAAUAUGGUAGCAUCAUACCAGAAUAACAGUUCAAAAGGGCCAUAACUUUUAUUUCAAUCAUUGGAUUGCUGUCAAAUUUUUACAGGAGAUUCCAAAGGUUGUUUUGGUAAAACCUCUGGGUAAAAAAUCAUAAAUGGACUAAUUUCAUGUAAAAUAAAAAAAUUCAUAACUCUCGAUCGGGUUAUUAAAAAAUUCUAAAAAUUUGCAUGGAGCCUUCUCAUAUGAUGCCUUAGCUUGGGUUAAAAUUUCAGAAUUUUUAGAGAAAUUUGGAAAUUUGAUGAAAAAUCACAAUUUGACUAGUUUUACGUUAUUGGAUGUAAUUUUCAAUCCGACAAUCAGAUUGAGCUGAAAUUUUAUGAGGAAUCUUAAAAUAUAUUGAAUAAAAUCUGGUUAAAAUUUUAGGAUGAACGAAACUCGGUAGUGCUAGUAAAAAAAAGACCGUCAAAUAUAAGCAAAAAGACUCAUUAAGGGUAAAAUGAUUAUUUGCCAUUAAAAAUAAAACAAAUCAGCUCCUUUUCUAUUAUAAGCCAACUGGGCAGAAACAAAAUGUGAAAAGAAAAAAACAAGAGAAGAACGUUAGAAAUCAAGAGAAAAACAAGAAAAAGUGAGAGAAAGCUUUGAAACUUGUAAGAUUGAAAGACUUGGAACAUUAAAUUAAGGAAGAAUCAAGUGAAGAAAGAUAUAAGAAAGGAGAGGAGGGCUGGCCACACUAGGAGGAGAAGAGAAGUUGGGAGAACUUAGAUUGGUAAGCAUGAAAAAUUAAGAUUCUUACUUGAAUGAAUGUUUUUGAGUUUAUUUAAGUAAUCAGACAAUGACAAUUAAAUUUGAUUUAAUUUCUUAUAUUCUUGAGUUUUUAAAUUAGGGUUCUUAUGAGAAUUUUGGGAUUUUAAGAAAAGUAGUAAACAUGAUGGAAUUGAGGUAGAAUAGUAUAGAAAUAGUGAAUGUAAGUAGUAAAUAAAAAAUAAAUUGAAUAAGUUUGAAGAAAUGAACUUGUAACUAAGGAUGAGGAAAUAAAGGAAAGAGGUUUUGAUUGUUUUAUGUUUGAGAAAUGACGUCCUUUAUCUUAAUUAUUUGAAGUAUAACAAGUAAAGAAACAUCAUAAGAAUGUGAAAAGAAGGAAUAAAUAAAUGCUAGGAAUAGUUCAUGGAAGAAUUCUUUAAGUGAGUUAAAAGAAGAAAAUUGAUUAAAACUAUAUGUUGAAAAUGAGGUGACAAAUGAAUGAAAAUUUUAGUGCAAAACCUAAUUAAAUAAAAAAUAUUACGUGCUUCCAAUGUAGGCACAUAGGAGAAAUAAUAAUGGAUUAAUAAUGUAGUGCAAUUUGAUUGAUUCAAGAGUUGUUUCGGGAGCAAGGCAUCAGGCAGGAGAAGCUAUGCCAUCACGAGCAGACGAUAGGUGAUUCAUCACUUUCUUUUAAAAUUCAAAGUUUCAUUAUUAGUUAUGAGUUGUUUAUGACAUAUUGUUAUGAAAAAAGCAGAAGAAGAAACUUGUUUGUAUUAUAAUUCAGAUGUUGGAUAAUUCAUAUGGAAUUACCGGUUAGAUUGGCUAUUAAUAGAAAAUAGCCGGAUGUUGGGUAAUUCAUAUGAAAUUAUCAGUUAGAUUGGCUAUUAUUAGAGAAUAACCGGAUGUAGUUCAUAUGGAAUUAUCGGUUAAAUUGGCUAUUAAUAGAGAAUAGUCGGAUGGUGGUUAAUUCAUAUGGAAUUACCGGUUAGAUUGACUAUUAAUAAAGAAUAGCCGAAUGUUGGGUAAUUCGUAUGGAAUUACCGGUCAUAUUGGCUAUUAUUAGAGAAUAGCCGGAUGUUGGGUAAUGUGUAUGAAAUUACCGAUUUGAUUGUUGGUUAUCGAAGAGGGUUAGUCGGGUUUGAGGUAAAAUUAUGAAUUAUCAAAUUAAAAGUUAAGCAAUGAGUGUUAAUUGCAGAAGUCCUAUAAGUAUAGGAUUAAUAAAUUAUGAAUGGGUUAUUAAUGUUGAUAUGUAGUAAGUUAGUGAUGAAAGACAAUUUGAUAUAUUUUGAAGAAUUGUGAACAUAAUAGCUUUAUCAUUUUUAAUGUGUUAUCUUCUUUAUUUCUUAUUAAUGUUAUGUAUACAGGUUUUUCACGAGGUGAUGCGGAGCGUUAAAUAUGGGUUUUGUGUUUAAAUCUGUUUAUUUUGUG